GAUGAACGCUGGCGGCGUGCCUAAUACAUGCAAGUCGAGCGAACAGACGAGGAGCUUGCUCCUCUGACGUUAGCGGCGGACGGGUGAGUAACACGUGGAUAACCUACCUAUAAGACUGGGAUAACUUCGGGAAACCGGAGCUAAUACCGGAUAAUAUAUUGAACCGCAUGGUUCAAUAGUGAAAGACGGUUUUGCUGUCACUUAUAGAUGGAUCCGCGCCGCAUUAGCUAGUUGGUAAGGUAACGGCUUACCAAGGCAACGAUGCGUAGCCGACCUGAGAGGGUGAUCGGCCACACUGGAACUGAGACACGGUCCAGACUCCUACGGGAGGCAGCAGUAGGGAAUCUUCCGCAAUGGGCGAAAGCCUGACGGAGCAACGCCGCGUGAGUGAUGAAGGUCUUCGGAUCGUAAAGCUCUGUUAGUAGGGAAGAACAAAUGUGUAAGUAACUAUGCACGUCUUGACGGUACCUAAUCAGAAAGCCACGGCUAACUACGUG
rnacentral:rRNA from 1 species